rnacentral:rRNA from 1 species
UGAGUACGAGAUGCUACGGCAUCGAAGCAGUGUAUGUCAUACUUCCAAGAAAAGCUCGCAAUGUAAUAAACAAAUAAUGCCUGUACCAUAACCGACACAGGUGGGUAGGUAGAGUAUACUAAGGGGCGCGAGAUAACUCUCUCUAAGGAACUCGGCAAAAUGACUCCGUAACUUCGGGAGAAGGAGUGCCUUAUUUUUAUAAGGUUGCAAUAACAAGAUCCAAGCAACUGUUUACCAAAAACACAGGUCUCCGCUAAGUCGUAAGACGAUGUAUGGGGGCUGACGCCUGCCCAGUGCCAGAAGGUUAAAGAAGUUGGUUAGCAUUAGCGAAGCUGAUAACUGAAGCCCUGGUGAACGGCGGCCGUAACAAUAACGGUCCUAAGGUAGCGAAAUUCCUUGUCGGGUAAGUUCCGACCCGCACGAAAGGCGUAAUGAUUUGGAUACUGUCUCGGAGAGGGGCUCGGUGAAAUAGACUUGUCUGUGAAGAUGCGGACUACCUGCACCUGGACAGAAAGACCCUAUGAAGCUUUACUGUAACUUGAGAUUGAAAUUGGACUUUAUCUGCGCAGUAUAGGUGGGAGACAUUGAUAAUAUUCUUGCGGGAAUAUUGGAGUCAUCAGUGAGAUACCACUCUUAUAAUGUUAGAUUUCUAACUUUGUAUCAUUAUCUGGUCAAAGAACAGUUUCAGGCGGGCAGUUUGACUGGGGCGGUCGCCUCCCAAACGGUAACGGAGGCGCACAAAGGUUUCCUCUGAACGUGUAGAAAUCGUAUCUAGAGUGUAAAGGCAUAAGGAAGCUUGACUGUGAGACCUACAAGUCGAGCAGGGACGAAAGUCGGUCUUAGUGAUCUGACGGUGCUGAGUGGAAAGGCCGUCACUCAACGGAUAAAAGUUACUCUAAGGAUAACAGGCUGAUCUCCCCCAAGAGUUCACAUCGACGGGGAGGUUUGGCACCUCGAUGUCGGCUCAUCGCAUCCUGGGGCGGUAGUACGUCCCAAGGGUUGGGCUGUUCGCCCAUGAAAGCGGUACGCGAGCUGGGUUCAGAACGUCGUGAGACAGUUCGGUCCAUAUCCGGUGUAGGCGUUAGAAUAUUGAGAGGAGCCUUCUUUAGUACGAGAGGACCGAGAAGGACAUACCUCUGGUGUACCAGUUAUCGUGUCAACGGUAAACGCUGGGUAGCUAUGUAUGGAGAGGAUAACCGCUGAAAGCAUCUAAGUGGGAAGCCCACCUCAAGAUAAG